rnacentral:rRNA from 1 species
CCUACGGGUGGCUGCAGUGGGGAAUAUUGCACAAUGGGCGCAAGCCUGAUGCAGGCAUGCCGCGUGUGUGAAGAAGGCCUUCGGGUUGUAAAGCACUUUCAGCGGGGAGGAAGGCGGUGAGGUUAAUAACCUCAUCGAUUGACGUUACCCGCAGAAGAAGCACCGGCUAACUCCGUGCCAGCAGCCGCGGUAAUACGGAGGGUGCAAGCGUUAAUCGGAAUUACUGGGCGUAAAGCGCACGCAGGCGGUCUGUCAAGUCGGAUGUGAAAUCCCCGGGCUCAACCUGGGAACUGCAUUCGAAACUGGCAGGCUAGAGUCUUGUAGAGGGGGGUAGAAUUCCAGGUGUAGCGGUGAAAUGCGUAGAGAUCUGGAGGAAUACCGGUGGCGAAGGCGGCCCCCUGGACAAAGACUGACGCUCAGGUGCGAAAGCGUGGGGAGCAAACAGGAUUAGAUACCCGUGUAGUC